rnacentral:rRNA from 1 species
UACGUAGGGUGCGAGCGUUAAUCGGAAUUACUGGGCGUAAAGCGUGCGCAGGCGGCUUCGCAAGUCAGGUGUGAAAGCCCCGGGCUUAACCUGGGAAUUGCGCUUGAAACUGGGGGGCUGGAGUGUGGCAGAGGGAGGUGGAAUUCCUGGUGUAGCGGUGAAAUGCGUAGAUAUCAGGAGGAACACCGAUGGCGAAGGCAGCCUCCUGGGCAGACACUGACGCUCAGGCGCGAAAGCGUGGGGAGCAAACAGG